rnacentral:rRNA from 1 species
UACAGAGGUGCCAAGUGUUAGGCGGAAUCACUGGGCUUAAAGCGCGUGUAGGUGGGUCGUUAAGUGUCCGCGUGAAAUCCCACGGCUCAACCGUGGAACUGCCGGGCAUACUGGCGAUCUUGAGGCAUUCAGGGGCGAGCGGAACAAAUGGUGGAGCGGUGAAAUGCGUAGAGCUCGGGAAGAACAUCGGUGGCGAAAGCGCUCUACUGGACUGCAACUGACACUCAGGGACGAAAGCUAGGGGAGCGAAUGGG